AUUGAACGCUGGCGGCAUGCCUUACACAUGCAAGUCGAACGGUAACAGGUCUUCGGAUGCUGACGAGUGGCGAACGGGUGAGUAAUACAUCGGAACGUGCCCGAGAGUGGGGGAUAACGAGGCGAAAGCUUUGCUAAUACCGCAUACGAUCUCAGGAUGAAAGCAGGGGACCGCAAGGCCUUGCGCUCACGGAGCGGCCGAUGGCAGAGUCGGUAGUUGGUGGGAUAAAAGCUUACCAAGCCGACGAUCUGUAGCUGGUCUGAGAGGACGACCAGCCACACUGGGACUGAGACACGGCCCAGACGCCUGCGGGAGGCAGCAGUGGGGAAUUGUGGACAAUGGGCGCAAGCCUGAUCCAGCCAUGCCGCGUGCAGGAUGAAGGCCUUCGGGGUGUAAACUGCUUUUGUACGGAACGAAAAGACUCUGGUUAAUACCUGGGGUCCAUGACGGUACCGUAAGAAUAAGCACCGGCUAACUACGUGCCAGCCGCCGCCGUAAUAC
rnacentral:rRNA from 1 species